rnacentral:lncRNA from 1 species
GAGGAGGUUUGUAUACUGGAGCAGGUGGUAGAACUGGAUGUUCAACCUUUGGUGGUGGACAUGGUUUCUUGACUGGAACAGGAGGAGGAAGAGGUUUAUGAUAUACAGGCGUAGGUGGAGGGAGAGGUUUAUGAUAAACAGGCACAGGUGGAGGAAGAGGUUUCUCAUACACAGGUGUAGGUGGAGGGAGAGGUUUAUGGUAAACAGGCACAGGCGGAGGAAGAGGUUUCUCGUAGACAGGUGUAGGUGGAGGAAGAGGUUUCUCAUAAACAGGUGUAGGAGGAGGGAUAGGUUUUUCAUAGAUAGGCACAGGUGGAGGACAAGGUUUCUUGUAGAUAGGAAUAUGAGGAAAGGGAGGUUUGUAAAUAGGAAUAUGAGAAAAUGGAGGUUUCUUGUAGAUAGGAACAGGAGGAAAAAGAGGGUGUUUAUGGAAAAUCUUUGGUGGAAAUGUUGGAAAAACUUUAGGGGGAAAUUGAGGUAAAUCAGGAUGAGGAAGCUUAGGAAAAAGAGGAUGUUUGAAGAGAGGCCAAAAGAAUUUGGAG